rnacentral:rRNA from 1 species
GACGAACGCUGGCGGCGUGCCUAAUACAUGCAAGUAGGACGCAGUUGCGAACGGGUGAGUAACGCGUAGGUAACUACCUAUUAGAGGGGGAUAACUAUGGGAAACGAUAGCUAAUACCGCAUAAUAGUAGAUGGACCUGCGUUGUAUUAGGUAGUAGGUAGGGUAAUGGCCUACCUAGGCAACGAUACAUAGCCGACCUGAGCUGGGGAUCGGGCACAAUUGGACUGAGACACGGCCCAGAACCCUAAGGGAAGCCGCAGUAGGGAAUCUUCGGCAAUGGGGGGAAACCUGACCGAGCAACGGCGCGUGAGUGAAGAAGGUUUUCGGAUCGUAAAGCUCUGUUGUUAAGGAAGCGGUACUUAACCAGAAAGGGACGGCUAACUACGUGCCAGCCGCCGCGGUAAUAC